AGCACUGGUCUGCUAGGAUCUGAUUGUCAUUGUCAAUGCUGGCAUACUGGUCAAUGUGUUGCCGUCACGUUUUGACAGUUCGGGCCCAAUUUUUGACGUUUUGACACUCACGCCCGGGCCUACUCAUCGAACGUCAUCGAUCAACUGGGGUCCUAAUCCAACCAAUCAACAAAGCAGCAUGAAAGUUGGUCAACCCAUUGUUCAAGUUCUACAAAGACAGAGCCUUAAGCCUACACAUUUGCCCCAGCAGCUGUUGAUCUCACUUCCAACAAAAGAAGGUGGCGUUUUGAUAGAAAUCAAACAGGUGGGAACUGGCAAGGAGCAGCUUAGUCCAGUCAGUCCACGCAGGCUUUUUGACGAAUGGCAUGAAGCUUGAUUUUCCCAAGGUAGUGUAAAAAAGACAUGCAAGACCUUACUGGAGUAAAUACCAUUGAAGUGUGCAGUCUUGUCUUGUUAAUCCAGUUAUGCUUUCGGUGAAAAUGGAAGUCCACCUAAAAAUUCCUCUUAAAUGCCACAUUGCUGAUGUUUGAGGUUGGAAGAUAGAAGAUCUCACCAAAGCAUGGAGGAGCAUGAUGGAGGAAUUAUAAAUCAAACCUUAAAGUUAUUCAAAUCCUAUAAUGAAAAGGUGCUUGUUGCUGAAGUUUCACUGAUCGGUCGACACGGAGACACGGUAUUUUGAGGCUUGAGUUAAGCUUCAACCUUGGAGAAGAUUUAGAACACAACAUUCCCGACGGUGUUGAAUAGGCUCUGUUGAAAUUCAAGAAGCAAGAGAGGAGUUUCCUUAAGUUGACACCUGCAUACGGUUUCGGCUCUGCCGGUAACGAGAAACAAGGUGUUUUACCCAACGUCAACUUCGAAUACGAGGUUGAACUAAAGAGCUUUGAAAAGGCCAAAGAGAGCUGGAGCAUGGACGCCGAAGAAAAAGCUGGCGAAACUCUGCAAAGAAAAAGGAGCCAAUCAUUUAAAAACUGCCAAAUACGCUCUGGCUAACAAACAGUAGGCCUACUUCAAGAUUUUCACCCUCCUCGAGUUUGAAAAAACUCUUAAAGACUAGAAAGCUACGGAGCGAGAACAGCUCAUGCUGGCAGCAUACCUCAAUCAGGCCAUGUGCUGUUUAAAGUUAAAUGAUUUCUGUGCAACUCGUGAUCAUUGCCACAAGGCGCUCGAGAUGAACCCGAAAAAUGAAAAGGGUUUAUUCCGUAUGGGCCAGGCACUUUUGGGCAUUCACGAGCCGGAGGAAGUCAAGAAACAUUUCGAGGCGAUUCUCCAAUUUGAUUCGAACAACAAGGCGGCCGCCAAUCAAGUGGUGAUCUGCAACGCCAAGAUUCGCGAGCAACGCGAAAAGGACAAGAAAUUGUACUCUAGCAUUUUCAACAAGAUGGCCGAAAACGAUCGACAGAAAGCCUUGCGGAACAAGGCGAUGGAUAUACCGGAACCGAGGCAGUGGGACAAUGAAGACUCGGAGAACACGACCGCCGUUGAAUUGCAAGAUCCUUAUUUGGACUCUGUGCCAUGUACAGAGUCGGAAGACUCCGAAGGGUCGGAUGAAAACUAAUCUUGAUUAUCGUCAUUGUGAUUCUCGACCCAUUAAAAAAAAAAUUUAAUUACCGAGAAUUGAUUGUGUUUUUCUUUCAUGCCUGUUCUCUCUGUUGUUAUAACACAACAAUUUCUAAACCAACACAGUUACUAAGGUCAUAUUCAAUUGAUUGUGUAAUUAUCGACUGCCCUCAAUCGUAAAACAUAUCUCAUCUUUAUCAAAUAAAAAUGGUGGAUUUGACGGGUAAAUUUUAAUCUUAGUUGACGAAACCAAAUCCUCCCUGAGUGAUAAAUAAAAUGCUGUCUCGGUUGAAGCUGUUCUACCCAUCUUCUUUGAGACCUCUGAUAUGCAGAUGAUACCACGCCAUAUGGGGGACAUGAAAAUUGAAGUUAACAUAGCUAUCAGUAGAAAAUGACGAUAGAAAAAUAACUUAUUUAAUCCUCUGUUUGAUUUUACAUAUUGUUCCUUUCUAGAUUGUUCCCAUACUUCCCAAUGGCUUAUUAAUGAUUUAAGUUGUGGGUAUUUAUGUCAGCGUCAUCUGUCAACUUCUAAAUACAUAAUAAUCAAACGCA